GGAGGGAUCGCAUAGUGGUCUAGUGCGGCCGCCUGCUAAGCGGUUGGGGUGCCAAAAGCGCCCUCCCGGGUUCGAAUCCCGGUCCCUCCGCCA
rnacentral:tRNA from 1 species